rnacentral:rRNA from 1 species
AAGUUAGCGGCGGACGGGUGAGUAACACGUGGGUAACCUGCCCAUAAGACUGGGAUAACUCCGGGAAACCGGGGCUAAUACCGGAUAACAUUUUGAACCGCAUGGUUCGAAAUUGAAAGGCGGCUUCGGCUGUCACUUAUGGAUGGACCCGCGUCGCAUUAGCUAGUUGGUGAGGUAACGGCUCACCAAGGCAACGAUGCGUAGCCGACCUGAGAGGGUGAUCGGCCACACUGGGACUGAGACACGGCCCAGACUCCUACGGGAGGCAGCAGUAGGGAAUCUUCCGCAAUGGACGAAAGUCUGACGGAGCAACGCCGCGUGAGUGAUGAAGGCUUUCGGGUCGUAAAACUCUGUUGUUAGGGAAGAACAAGUGCUAGUUGAAUAAGCUGGCACCUUGACGGUACCUAACCAGAAAGCCACGGCUAACUACGUGCCAGCAGCCGCGGUAAUACGUAGGUGGCAAGCGUUAUCCGGAAUUAUUGGGCGUAAAGCGCGCGCAGGUGGUUUCUUAAGUCUGAUGUGAAAGCCCACGGCUCAACCGUGGAGGGUCAUUGGAAACUGGGAGACUUGAGUGCAGAAGAGGAAAGUGGAAUUCCAUGUGUAGCGGUGAAAUGCGUAGAGAUAUGGAGGAACACCGGUGGCGAAAGCGACUUUCUGGUCUGUAACUGACACUGAG